rnacentral:lncRNA from 1 species
AUACUAGAGCGCGGCUAUGCGAAAUGGACAACAAAAAGGGGGCCUGUCAUCCUCUAACCGGGCGGGCGAAGGGUCCAAAGGACACGUAGCCGGGGGCAAGUCACAAAAAUCCAAUAAUUCCAUUUUCCUUCUUGUUCAUCAAUCGGGAAUCAAGACAAACCGGGCACUACGGUAAGACGUGAAAACAGACGAUCCCAUUUUGACCU